GUUAUAUGGUCAAGCGAAUAAGCGCACACGGUGGAUGCCUUGGCGGUCAGAGGCGAUGAAGGACGUGGCAGCCUGCGAAAAGUAUCGGGGAGCUGGCAACAAGCUUUGAUCCGGUAAUGUCCGAAUGGGGAAACCCACCCGCUUGCGGGUAUCCUGCAGUGAAUACAUAGCUGCUGGAAGCGAACCUGGUGAACUGAAAUAUCUAAGUAACCAGAGGAAAAGAAAUCAACCGAGAUUCCGUCAGUAGCGACGAGCGAACGCGGACUAGC
rnacentral:rRNA from 1 species